rnacentral:rRNA from 1 species
ACGAACGCUGGCGGCGUGCCUAAUACAUGCAAGUCGAGCGAACAGAAGCAGCAGAAUUACUUCGGUAAGGACGCUGUGGAAGUUAGCGGCGGAUGGGUGAGUAACACGUGGGUAACCUACCCUUAAGACUGGGAUACCACUUGGAAACAGGUGCUAAUACCGGAUAGGAGUAUGAGCUGCAUGGCUUAUACUUUAAAGGCGGCGAAAGCUGUCACUAAAGGAUGGACCCGCGGUGCAUUAGCUAGUUGGUAAGGUAACGGCUUACCAAGGCGACGAUGCAUAGCCGAGUUGAGAGACUGAUCGGCCACAUUGGGACUGAGACACGGCCCAAACUCCUACGGGAGGCAGCAGUAGGGAAUCUUCCACAAUGGACGCAAGUCUGAUGGAGCAACGCCGCGUGAGUGAAGAAGGUUUUCGGAUCGUAAAGCUCUGUUGUUGGUGAAGAAGGAUAUAGGUAGUAACUGGCCUAUAUUUGACGGUAAUCAACCAGAAAGUCACGGCUAACUACGUGCCAGCAGCCGCGGUAAUACGUAGGUGGCAAGCGUUGUCCGGAUUUAUUGGGCGUAAAGCGAGCGCAGGCGGAGAAAUAAGUCUGAUGUGAAAGCCCACGGCUCAACCGUGGAACUGCAUCGGAAACUGUUUUUCUUGAGUGCAGAAGAGGAGAGUGGAACUCCAUGUGUAGCGGUGGAAUGCGUAGAUAUAUGGAAGAACACCAGUGGCGAAGGCGGCUCUCUGGUCUGCAACUGACGCUGAGGCUCGAAAGCAUGGGUAGCGAACAGGAUUAGAUACCCUGGUAGUCCACACAGUAAACGAUGAAUACUCGCUGUUUGCGAUAUACGGUAAGCGGCCAAGCGAAAGCGUUAAGUAUUCCACCUGGGGAGUACGCCGGCAACGGUGAAACUCAAAGGAAUUGACGGGGGCCCGCACAAGCGGUGGAGCAUGGGGUUGAAUUCGCAGCAACGCGAAGAACCUUACCAGGUCUUGACAUCUAGUGCCAUUCUAAGAGAUUAGAAGUUCCCUUCGGGGACGCUAAGACAGGUGGUGCAUGGCUGUCGUCAGCUCGUGUCGUGAGAUGUUGGGUUAAGUCCCGCAACGAGCGCAACCCUUGUCAUUAGUUGCCAGCAUUAAGUUGGGCACUCUAAUGAGACUGCCGGUGACAAACCGGAGGAAGGUGGGGAUGACGUCAAAUCAUCAUGCCCCUUAUGACCUGGGCUACACACGUGCUACAAUGGGCAGUACAACGAGAAGCAAGCCGGUGACGGCAAGCGAAUCUCUUAAAGCUGUUCUCAGUUCGGACUGCAGUCUGCAACUCGACUGCACGAAGCUGGAAUCGCUAGUAAUCGCGGAUCAGCACGCCGCGGUGAAUACGUUCCCGGGCCUUGUACACACCGCCCGUCACACCAUGGGAGUCUGCAAUGCCCAAAGCCGGUGGCCUAACCGUAAGGAAGGAGCCGUCUAAGGCAGGGCAGAUGACUGGGGUG